CAUCUGCCCGCAGCGCCGGCGCAGGGGUCCGCCCGCCCCGCAUCCAUCCAGGGGCUGCGAAAGGCACCGAAAUGUGCCAGCCCGGCCCUGGGAAACUUUUCGGUGGCGGAGAAUUUCCCUGUACAACUUGGCCACUGCGGCCAGCCUAAAGGUGACACCCGACGUGCAGGGGAGGGAGGGAGAGAGAGCUGCGGGUUGCGUCCCAGCGACACUCUAAAAGGUGAUAUUGGACUAGGGAAGUCCCCUCAUCCUCCUCCACCUCUUUCCAGCUCUCAGUGCUGCCAGGGGACAAAUCCCCCGGGCCGGCAGUCAGAGCCCCGCACCUCGCUGCCCUCGGGACUCCGGGCAGUCCCACCGGCAGCCCCGUCCCUUUUGCACGUCAGGGAAAAGCUCAUUGCUCGGCACACACAGAGACGGGACCCAGCGAAACCCUCCAGAGACGGUCUCCGUGGGGAGUGGAACGAGCUGGGAAUGUCUUUUAUAAAAGGGAUCUUCUCUGUCUUUAGGGCGUGGGAGGUUUUGCAGCGCCGUUUUAUUUUAGUUUAGAAUUUUGAACAAACUUCAGAUUGAUUUCCGGAAAGCGCAAAUGCGCGCACAUGGGAAAGUGAAAAAACCGGUCCUUCGAGGUCACCCGAGAGGGGGAGACGGGAUCUGUACCCCCUUCCAAAAUAAAAUAAAAUAAAAAUAACAGAAGGGGAAAGAUCUCGUGCUUUUAUAGUUUAAAACUACUUUGAAUGAUUUGCUUUUAAUGGCACACGUGGUUGCAGGAAAGAGAGGCUCUGUUUUCGAUCUUGCACUUGCUCCUCGCUUUUUUUGUAGGUGUGUGCGCGGACAUACGUGUGCUUCGCAGCCCCCACCUGAUGGCUCUCCCCAUCACCCCACCCUUCCCGGACCCUCAGCACGUCGCAGGCCACGCUCUCCUGCCGCUGUGUCCUCUGCCGGGAUCCAGAAGUACGGGCACAGCCGACUCCUGCCCCAGCGUUUCUCCGGAGCAGCGGGGGUGUUGUGAACAUUUAUGAAACCCAGAUGAUCCGGGAGUUGGGGCAUACGGAAAAGAUUUCCAAUUAAAGCCGAGCGGAGCGGAGAGCAGCCAGCUUCGCGUCGCAGGUGUAAACAAUAUUUGUUCAGCUCUCGCUCCUCAUCCCGGAGUGGAUCCUUCCCCUCGCUGCAUCCCUCAGGGAGGAGAGGAGAAGGGGCCGCUUCUCGCUUCGGGUCCUACUCGCCCCGCGCCGGGCUCCCCGCAUCGCUCGGUGCACACCGGGAGGCUCUGUGCCUGCAGCCCCCGGCCCCGAACCGCCUCCCCUCCGCUCACCUGUUGCUGCAGCCGCUUCCGUAAAGGCAGGGACUUAAAGGAAAAUUCAAUAGCUCCGGUCUCGGAAAGCGGCGGCGGUGUAAAGUGUUGCAGUGACACGGAGGGUGGGGUAGGACGGCACGCGGGGACAGUGGGCAUCACCGCGGGCUGCUAGGUACGCGCUGCCGUUUGGAAGAAGUGCUUUCUCGCAACUUUGGUGCCGGAUUUAGGGCAAUCUGGGAGCUCAACGGCAGCUGGGAAUAUGUUUCCCAAUUCGCCGAGAGCGUUCGGGUUCGCGAAGCACCUCGGGGGCCGUGGGAGCGGCCCCCCAACAGCCCCUGCCUCGUUAGCGAGGCCGGGCACGCUAGCUUUGGUGGUUCCAGUUUAAAUAACGGAGAAAGCAUUCACAUAUGCUUAAUCCACGCUUUCUUUAAAUACCAUUAGGACAAUUGUCUCGAUCCGAGGUCAGGGAAAAAUCCUGUUCGUCGGAGACAAGAGGUCGACAGGGUGGCAGGAGAAUGGGGGCUUUGGGAGAGAAUCGGUGGGAGCGCCGUGCGGGCAGCUCACCUCCCGCAAAGCACAGGCGCGGUUGGUGCCCGCCGCUCGCUGAGCCGCUUGCCCUCCCCCGGGACAGGUUACGGGAGGCACAGUCCGCACAGACCCUGACCGUCCGUCUCCGGCAGCGAAGUGAGCAGAGCGGAUUGUGAAAGACCUUGCGCGCUGGGAUGUGGAGGGGUGUUGAGGGGGGAUGGAAGGAAGAAAACACAAGAGAAGCCCGUCCCAAAGAGCUGAAGUGGGCAGAGUAUUACAUGUACGAACAUCCAAACAAGAUUGGAGCAGUACAAAGCGUCGGAAAAUCCAGAGCAGCCACAUAAAAAGAAAAGUUAAGUAGGAAGUGGUGUAAAAGCGUUGUCGUUUAUUUCGCCUUCCCUUCCAGAUGUUCUGCAUAAAGCCCUAUCUGCAGGGAGGAGGGAGCGCGCCCGGCAGAACCGAGCUCGGGAAGCGGGUGCCGGGGGCUGCCCGGGGCUGCCCGGGACUGCUCGGGGCUGCGGCCACCGGAUGGCGCCGCCACCGCCCGCUGUCACCUGCGGGACCCGCGUUCACCUGCGGGUGGCCCCGGGCCCUGCCAAGCACGGUUGGGGUAGCAGAGGUGGGUGCGGGCACCGUGCAGCACCGGCCCGGCCCCGGCGUUUUUCAUCGCGUUAUGGGACCGAGGGACUCAGGGAGUUUGGCUGCAGGCAAUAGAAGUUCGGCCGUCACGCUUUGCUGCAAGGGUAGGGAGGAAGCCCCUGAGCUCCGAAGCUGGUCUCGAGGGAGGAAUAGCGCGUCGAGGAGAGAGAAAAACGGAGCAGAGUUUAGAGGCUGGAAAGGGAAAGAUCGAGCUUUGCGGAACAGCUGCGCAGAAAGUAUCCGCCGGAGCCCCUUGCACUCAGGGCUGGAGGGAGCACAUCCACCCGCUCUCCCCGCCUCCGGGCGCCCGCGCCUGUUUUUCUCCAAAUGAAGUAUUUUACGUGAUCGAUGGAAGGAGUCAUUUGGCCCAUAAUUAGGUCAAUAAAAUCAAUGUUUAUUCCUCGGAUGGCCUGAAAGCUAAUAAAUUCCUCUUUUAUAUUCGCUCCCUCCGAAGAUUAGAAACGAGCUGCCCGGCCCCAGCGUCGGAGCGGAGCGCGGAGCCAGCCCCGACCGGCGGCCAUCGCUCCGCACCCGGCGGCCGCAGAAGUCCCCCCCGAAGGCUGAGCCCUUUCUGCACCCCCACUCCCCCCCUCCAACCCCCAAUCCAAUUCCACCACCCUGGUGCUGUUUGUUUUCCAGCACGGGACGUUUCACAGCGAAUCCAGAUUUGCUCUAAAUCCCCUCCAACGCGCGCUCCCCGCCUGUCUCGCAGAUCACUUCAUUUCGCUUGAUUCCCUUUGGAGUCCCUAAGGAAAAAAAAAAAAA